rnacentral:rRNA from 1 species
GACGAACGCUGGCGGCGUGCUUAACACAUGCAAGUCGAACGGAAAGGCCCUGCUUUUGUGGGGUGCUCGAGUGGCGAACGGGUGAGUAACACGUGAGUAACCUGCCCUUGACUUUGGGGUAAAUUCAGGAAACUGGGGCUAAUAUCCGAUAGGAGCUCCUGCAGCAUGGUGGGGGUUGGAAAGUUUCGGCGGUGGGGGAUGGAAUGGCGGCUUACGGGCUUGUUGGUGGGGUAGUGGCUUACCAAGGCUUUGACGGGUAGCCGGCCUGAGAGGGUGGCCAGCCACAUGGGUACUAAGAGAGGGCCCAGUAGCGUAUGUGGGGCAGCAGGGGGGAGUAUUGCGCAGUGGGCGGGAGCCGGAUGUGGAAACGCCGCGUGCGGGAAGCCGUCCUUUUGGUUGAAAACCGCUGUCGCCUGUGACAAAGCGGGAGUGACGGUAAUGGGUAAAGAAGCACCGGCUAACUACGUG